UCUUCUUUUCUUCCCUUUUCUGCCGCUUCCACCCACACCUCGCUGCCGCCUUCCGCCACACCUCGCUGCCGCCUUCCGCCUUCCGCCUCUCCUCGCUGUCGCCUCCCCUCGCUGCCGCUUCCCCUCGCUGCCGCUUCCACCCACCACUGCCGCCUUGCGCUGCCGCCUGCCAUUUCCUCCGGCCACCAACGCCGCCGUUGCUGCCGCCCGCUGCCGCCUGCCGCCCGCUGCCGCCUGCCGCCCGCUGCUGCCUCCGCCGCUUUCCGCUGCCCGCAGUUUUGCCGACGUCCAUCUAGACCUCUCUCUGCUGUGGAUUCCUGAUAGCUGGUGACAGUAGACGCCUGCUCCGAUUUUUCUGACCGGGAUCCAGCGUUGGCGUGCGGUUCUGCCCUACAACAAGUAGGUUUUAUUUCUUUUUGUAUUUUAUUUACAUAGUUAGAUUAAAAACACUUCAAUUUAAUUAAUUAAACACGAUUUUAUUCCCACCGAAUAAAAUCGUAAUCCUAGCCGUAGAUUUCCCGUCUCGUGACUUCAAUCUAUUGAAUGUCGCGGGAUUGUACAGUUUGUACAGUUCGCAAAACUCGUGCUUCCGUAAUCUGACUGCCGAAAAAAUAUAUGCGUAGUUACG